rnacentral:rRNA from 2 species
AAAUUGAAGAGUUUGAUCAUGGCUCAGAUUGAACGCUGGCGGCAGGCCUAACACAUGCAAGUCGAACGGUAACAGGAAGCAGCUUGCUGCUUCGCUGACGAGUGGCGGACGGGUGAGUAAUGUCUGGGAAACUGCCUGAUGGAGGGGGAUAACUACUGGAAACGGUGGCUAAUACCGCAUAACGUCGCAAGACCAAAGAGGGGGACCUUCGGGCCUCUUGCCAUCAGAUGUGCCCAGAUGGGAUUAGCUAGUUGGUGAGGUA